UUUUGUAAAAGAUUAAUCAGACAAGACUUCGUGAACUUUGAUAUUUCCCGUGUAUUUAGUUUUUAUGUGGCAGUUCUUUACUUAUAAAGAUAUUUUUCGCUCGUAUUUACUGUAAUAUAUUAUUGGUUAUGUCAAAGUCCUGUGAUUCGGUACGGUGGAGUAAACCAGUGCGUCGAAAAAACGUCACUAUGUCAAUUUGAAAAUCAAAUUACAGUAACAAAUUGUUUAUGCUGAGGGUGACAAGAAUGACACCUUCAAUGUGACAAGGAUUGAGCAAGAACGUACUGACUUCUAUUUCAUAAUUCCACCAAACAGAAAGUAAUACUCUAUUACAAUGUCAGGAACAAAAAAGUUCCACAGCAAUAUUAUUUACCUACAAAAACAUGUUUAACCAAACACGGCCAAGCCUAUUAAUAACAUAGCUGAAUAAUGAUCCUCUGUAAGUAAGCUUAAGAUCUACGGACCAUUUGAUUUGAGGGGGCAGUCUGAGAUGUAUAAGAGGAAAAGUUCUGACACUGCUUUCUGCCUUAAAUAAAAUUCUUGUCGUAUCAGGAUUGAAAACAAUAAUCUUGUCCACUUUUUUUGCCAUUUGAAACCAAAAUUUCCAACAGAUUUUUUUUAGAAUUAAAUGACCAUGAUGAUUAAUAAAAGGGAGUAAUUUUUUGGUUCCCGGGGUUUUGCAUGUAAAUCCAGUAUCUGACCUGAAUGUCUGUUUCGC
rnacentral:lncRNA from 1 species